GGUUUGCAUGUUCUACACUUGCACAGGUCCAAUGCCGCCUAAAAAGAGAUCUAAAGCUGCAGCCUCCUUUUCUAGCUCAUUUGACAAGAGCAAAUUCAUUAGUGUUGAGGCCGCUAAACGAUAUAAUAACCUGGUGGUCCACAAGACCUGUAUCCCUGAACGUGAUUUUUACAAUUAUAUGACAGAGCAGAUAGGUCGGCGGAACUGCCAAUGCGAAGGAGCAUUGAGAUUUCCGAGUGUUUGUGCGGGGUAAGUGGAUACCGUUUGAUAGAACCUCCAUCAACAUGUUUUAUCAUUUGCAAGAUAUUGAAAAUGACGAGUACUCUAGACUUCGUGACGAGGAUGUUGAUCCUAAUGAGGUCAUUUGAGUCUUGGCCACAACUGGUACUACAUGGAAACGUUCAGAGACAUAUAUAAUUAACUUUCCUGCUUCUGGUAUGACUUCGGGUUGUAAGGCUUGGCAUCACUUCAUUUCUGGCAAACUUAUUUCCAGUAGCAAUUUAAGUGAAGUAACAAAAGAAUGAGCUAUCCUUAAUUAUGCUAUUCAGUGCCACCUAUCAAUUGAUGUUGGUAAAGUUAUUUACAACAUCUUACACACUUAGAAAGGGUCGAUGACAGGUGGUCUAGGGCACCCAUCAUUGAUUUAUGAGCUUUGUUUAGCGGGUGGUGUUGUCACAUACCCGACUGAGGAGGUUGUGCACCCCAAACCGUCAAUCACAUGAGCACGUACUUGGAAGUUCUUACGCUGUUCUGAAUCCACCAGUGCUCCACCCCCUCCUCGGAGCGACCAGCCGCCCCGAUCAUGUCGACCGGCCCCAGAUAGUGACCCCACUUCCAACCUUGCCGCUAAGCUUCAUGACAUACAAUUGAAAAUGAAUUUGAUGCAAAAUACUUUGUGCGAGCAAUUCCAUUAUCAACAUGAGUUCAAUGCGGUCCUGGGUUCGAUUUACUCCGAUCGAGCAUUUCCUCAGUCGCCACUCCUACCUGAUCAUGCUGCCAAUCCAAUUCUGAAUACCGAGGACGACGAUGUCGAGAACGACGAUUAAUGUUGUCCGUCUGGUAAGUUCCCUCCCCAUUUUGUUUCUAUUUCACAUUGAGGACAAUGUUUCAGUUAAGUUUGGGGGUGAAUAAAUUUGCUUACGUUGUUUAGUUUCUCAAAUGCUUGCAUGUGAUUUUUUGUUUUAUGUGUUCAUGUGUUUAUUCAAAAAUAAUAAUAAUAAUAAUAAUAAUAAUAAUAAUAAUAAUAAUAAUAAUAAUAAUAAUAAUAAUAAUAAUAAAAUUUAUAUAUGUAUUUUCAUCUUCAGCAUGCUUGUGUGAGUUAGAUAGUCUUAUUAGCUAUGAUGAAUAUAUUUGAGAGCAUGUAUUAGUUUAUGGAUUGUGGAUGAAUCAUAUGUCUUAAUUGGAUUUUCUACUUAUAUAUAUAAAGCAGUAUAACAUUUAUGCACGAAUAUUAAGUUGAGUGUCGUACAGGAACAUGAGGGCUCAUGCACAUAGGCUAAAGAGAUGACUUAGGUGUGUAAUCCCGUAACCUAUGAAUGUCAAUACCCCUUAACCGUAUACAUUAUAAUUUGGGGCAUUCUAACCGGCGAAAAAAAUGAUUUAAGAUUGUGGUGAUUCCGUGCAUGUGAAAAAGAUUGUGUGGAGUGUAUUUAAUUUUCUGGUAUAAGCUUGGUGAUUAUCGAAUGCUAGAAAACUAAUCCCUAUAAAUUUCGCUUCUUUUUAUUAGAGAAGAAGCAUUGCAUGUAUUCAGCUGAGUCUCACAUUGCACCUUUUUGACUCGUGUUAUUAAGUUCGUAGGGGUCUCUUGAAACCUGGUACCCUUUGGUAUACAAAAAAUUGGGGAGUUACCGACCUAACACUCGCUACAGGGGUCAAGAAGUGGAAAAAAUGAUGAGGUAAAAAAAAAAAAAAAACCUAAUCUUGGGGGCCUAGAUAACUAGUGGGUUUGAAUCACUAAGUAUAAAUUAGAUUGUUAAACACUCAUAAAUUGGGAGAAUCAUUACAUGAAUGAAUUGUUGAUGUUGCCGGUUGAACUAACCCAAAUUAGAGUGGUGUGAGAAAAUCUUAAACAAACCUGAACUUUAGAAUUACACCAUGGUAGGAGAAUAAAAGAACUGAGUUUGGGGGGUGUGUGAAUCUUACGAACGAAGAAAGGAAAUAAUUGACCAUUGAGGGUUGGGAAGUGAACCAACUUGUGAAUGUACGGCGCUACACUUGACCCUCCACACACACACAUACCCGCUUCGCGUUGUAUGAGUGGAAGUUUGGUUCUUGCAUUGUGAUUUUAACACCAUUCAUAAGUAUAAUAUAAUGUUAUCAAUGCUGAGCAAAAAAGACAAGCUGUCUAACUGACUAGUUGUGUGGGUAUCGUCCUUGGAUGAUUUUACUGUUUGGAUUGUUUGUUUGCUUGAGGACUAGCAAAUGGUUAAAUUUGGGAGUAUUUGAUGAGUUUGUUUCACUCAUGAUUUUUGCACAAUUUUAGCUUGAUUAAAUGCUAGAUCUUGUGAGUAUAUAAUAUUUUUUAUGUGUUUGUUAGUGUUGUUUUGAAGAUUAGGAAAAGCGAUGUGAAAAGAGGUAUUAAAGUGGAUGAAGAGGCCAAAAACACGGAAUUGAGGCAGAAAGACGGUGCUUAGGCGGUACGAAAUUGAAAAAAAGAUGAAAUUUGGACCCGAAAGGCAACGCCUAGGCUCCGCAACCAUAGUGCCCAGGCGCUGCGAUUGAAUAACUAGGGCGCGUUUUAUAAAUAAAAAUCAUACUUCUACAUAAAAUGGAGGGGCACGUAUAAAUACAUCUUUCUCAUACCUUUGAAGGGUUCUUAACAUAUUGGAGAGAAGACAAUAAAAAGGGAGAUUCAAAAGAGAAAUUCAAGAAGAUUAACACCAAACAAUUGAAUAUUAGAAGCAUUCAUUGGAAGAGGAAGGAGAUCUUGGUGCAAGAAUUCUACUUUUUCUUCUACAUCUUUAUUACAAACUCGGUGAUGUGUUCUAAGACAAAUUUUUACUUUUCUUUUUGUAUUAUGAGUAGCUAAAUUUAUUGUUAGGGAGAAUAAUGUAACCAAUUGGGA
rnacentral:lncRNA from 1 species